UCCAUAGGCAGGUUCUGCUUCCCUCAAACUUAGGAAAGGGCUUCAGAUGUGGAGCAGCCUAAAAGAAUGACACAUGCCCACUCUAAUUAGCUGGCCAAAUUAGUUCUACAGAAGAGAAGUACCUUGGGAUUUCGGAGCAGAAAGUGAUGAUUCUGAGGAGGCUUUAGAGGAGGGGAGAUUUGAUCAAGUCUUGAAGGAUGAGAAAGUUGGUAGGGUUGUAGGUAGGGAUAGGAGAAGGAUUUCGAGAGACACAUAUGGAAUGACAAUAUUAAGAAUGCUGAACUGGGGAAAACAAAUGCAAGCGCUGUGCUAGCAGGAAGGUCUGUGAAGUUUGCAAUAAAGCCAUUAUGAAGUCAAGAAUGGAGGUUCCAUUUUUAAAGAACUCAGAGGGGGUAGAUCUUGAUUGACAUCUCAUCUGGGGUCACCUGGUCUUCAACUGAGAGAUCUUUUGGUUCGCCACGGAUGCCCCUUGCAGUUAUGGAAGUUCACUCUUUGAGAGAGAGAUAAAUGCUUCCCUGACCAGAGGUCGUUUUGAGUUUCCUUCUCUGGAAUUUGACCACUGAGCAGAGACACAUAGGAGAGAAGACGUGAAUGCUGAGUCAUCAAUCAGCAUCACUGG
rnacentral:lncRNA from 10 species